GGUUAAGCGAAUAAGCGUACACGGUGGAUGCCUAGGCAAUCAGAGGCGAUGAAGGACGUGCUAAUCUGCGAAAAGCGUCGGUAAGGUGAUAUGAACCGUUAUACCCGACGAUAUCCGAAUGGGGAAACCCAGUAUCCAAUGGAUACUAUCAUUAACUGAAUCCAUAGGUUAAUGAGGCGAACCGGGAGAACUGAAACAUCUCAGUACCCCGAGGAAAAGAAAUCAACCGAGAUUCCCCUAGUAGCGGCGAGCGAACGGGGAGCAGCCCAGAGUCUUAAUCAAUAGCAGUGUCAGGAGAACGGUCUGGAAAGUCCGGCAGUAAAGGGUGAUAGCCCCGUAUCUGAAGAUGCUGUUGUUGUGAACUCGACGAGUAGGGCGGGACACGUGUUAUCCUGUCUGAAUAUGGGGGGACCAUCCUCCAAGGCUAAAUACUCCUGAUUGACCGAUAGUGAACCAGUACCGUGAGGGAAAGGCGAAAAGAACCCCGGCGAGGGGAGUGAAAAAGAACCUGAAACCGUGUACGUACAAGCAGUAGGAGCCUCUUUAUGGGGUGACUGCGUACCUUUUGUAUAAUGGGUCAGCGACUUAUAUUCUGUAGCAAGGUUAACCGCAUAGGGGAGCCGUAGGGAAACCGAGUCUUAACUGGGCGAAUGAGUUGCAGGGUAUAGACCCGAAACCCGGUGAUCUAUCCAUGGGCAGGUUGAAGGUUGGGUAACACUAACUGGAGGACCGAACCGACUAAUGUUGAAAAAUUAGCGGAUGACUUGUGGAUGGGGGUGAAAGGCCAAUCAAACCGGGAGAUAGCUGGUUCUCCCCGAAAGCUAUUUAGGUAGCGCCUCGUGAACUCAUCUUCGGGGGUAGAGCACUGUUUCGACUAGGGGGUCAUCCCGACUUACCAACUCGAUGCAAACUGCGAAUACCGAAGAAUGUUAUCACGGGAGACACACGGCGGGUGCUAACGUCCGUCGUGAAGAGGGAAACAACCCAGACCGCCAGCUAAGGUCCCAAAGUCAUGGUUAAGUGGGAAACGAAGUGGGAAGGCUCAGACAGCCAGGAUGUUGGCUUAGAAGCAGCCAUCAUUUAAAGAAAGCGUAAUAGCUCACUGGUCGAGUCGGCCCGCGCGGAAGAUGUAACGGGGCUAAACCAUGCACCGAAGCUGCGGCAGCGACACAAAGUGUUGUUGGGUAGGGGAGCGUUCUGUAAGCCUGCGAAGGUGUACUGUGAGGUAUGCUGGAGGUAUCAGAAGUGCGAAUGCUGACAUAAGUAACGAUAAUGCGGGUGAAAAACCCGCACGCCGGAAGACCAAGGGUUCCUGUCCAACGUUAAUCGGGGCAGGGUGAGUCGACCCCUAAGGCGAGGCUGAAAAGCGUAGUCGAUGGGAAACGGGUUAAUAUUCCCGUACUGGUGGUAACUGCGAUGGGGGAACGGAGAAGGCUAGGUUGUCCGGGCGACGGUCGUCCCGGUUCAAGCAGGUAGGCAGAGUGAUUAGGCAAAUCCGGUCACUUAAUGCUGAGAUGUGAUGACGAACCACCAAGGUGGUGAAGCAAUUGAUGCCCCGCUUCCAGGAAAAGCCUCUAAGCUUCAGGUUACCAACAAUCGUACCCCAAACCGACACAGGUGGUCAGGUAGAGAAUACUCAGGCGCUUGAGAGAACUCGGGUGAAGGAACUAGGCAAAAUGGUGCCGUAACUUCGGGAGAAGGCACGCUGGCGGUAGGUAAAGUCCCUCGCGGACGGCGCUGAAGCCAGUCGAAGAUACCAGCUGGCUGCAACUGUUUAUUAAAAACACAGCACUGUGCAAACACGAAAGUGGACGUAUACGGUGUGACGCCUGCCCGGUGCUGGAAGGUUAAUUGAUGGGGUCAGCCGUAAGGCGAAGCUCCUGAUCGAAGCCCCAGUAAACGGCGGCCGUAACUAUAACGGUCCUAAGGUAGCGAAAUUCCUUGUCGGGUAAGUUCCGACCUGCACGAAUGGCGUAAUGAUGGCCAGGCUGUCUCCACCCGAGACUCAGUGAAAUUGAACUCGCUGUGAAGAUGCAGUGUACCCGCGGCAAGACGGAAAGACCCCGUGAACCUUUACUAUAGCUUGACACUGAACAUUGAGCCUUGAUGUGUAGGAUAGGUGGGAGGCUUUGAAGUGUGGACGCCAGUCUGCAUGGAGCCAACCUUGAAAUACCACCCUUUAACGUUUGAUGUUCUAACCUAGGCCCAUAAACUGGGUCGGGGACCGUGUCUGGUGGGUAGUUUGACUGGGGCGGUCUCCUCCUAAAGAGUAACGGAGGAGCACGAAGGUUGGCUAAGCAUGGUCGGACAUCAUGCGGUUAGUGCAAAGGCAUAAGCCAGCUUGACUGCGAGAGUGACGGCUCGAGCAGGUACGAAAGUAGGUCUUAGUGAUCCGGUGGUUCUGAAUGGAAGGGCCAUCGCUCAACGGAUAAAAGGUACUCCGGGGAUAACAGGCUGAUACCGCCCAAGAGUUCAUAUCGACGGCGGUGUUUGGCACCUCGAUGUCGGCUCAUCACAUCCUGGGGCUGAAGUAGGUCCCAAGGGUAUGGCUGUUCGCCAUUUAAAGUGGUACGCGAGCUGGGUUUAGAACGUCGUGAGACAGUUCGGUCCCUAUCUGCCGUGGGCGUUGGAAGAUUGAGAGGGGUUGCUCCUAGUACGAGAGGACCGGAGUGAACGCACCACUGGUGUUCGGGUUGUCAUGCCAAUGGCAUUGCCCGGUAGCUAAGUGCGGAAGAGAUAACCGCUGAAAGCAUCUAAGCGGGAAACUUGCCUCGAGAUGAGUCUUCCCUGUCACUUUAAGUGACCUAAAGGAACGUUUAAGACUAAGACGUUGAUAGGCUGGGUGUGUAAGCGUAGCGAUACGUUGAGCUAACCAGUACUAAUGAACCGUGAGGCUUAACCUG
rnacentral:rRNA from 1 species